UUUUUUUUUUAAAGGGAGAAGCAGGAUCAGAUGGUGUUAAAGGGGAAAAGGGUGAGCCCUGUUCGGUGUGCCCCACCUUGAGCGAGUUAGCCCCAAACCUCGGGACUCAAACUCUGCAAGUCAAAGGCCAAAAAGGAGAACAAGGACACGCUGGAAAUGUAGGACCACCUGGCCCACGAGGAGAGAAG